UACGUAGGGUGCAAGCGUUAAUCGGAAUUACUGGGCGUAAAGCGUGCGCAGGCGGUUUUGUAAGACUGUCGUGAAAUCCCCCGGCUUAACCUGGGAACUGCGUCUGAUACUGGGAGGCUUGAGUAUGGGAGAGGGAUGUAGAAUUCCAGGUGUAGCGGUGAAAUGCGUAGAUAUCUGGAGGAAUACCGGUGGCGAAGGCGGCAUCCUGGACCAUAACUGACGCUGAGGCGCGAAAGCGUGGGGAGCAAACAGG
rnacentral:rRNA from 1 species